rfam:Gossypium hirsutum cultivar TM-1 chromosome 10, whole genome shotgun sequence
GUUUUGGAACUUCAAUCAUAUUUAAUUUCUUGAAUGGUGAAUGGUAAAAUUUGAGAAGCAAGGCACAUUAUUGUUCCAAGGUCCGCUCCAGCUCAUUCACACUAUGAGAGCUGGCCAUGUCCAAAGUUGUUACCUUAACGGCAAGCAAAGGGGUGUCGAAGGCAGGACUAGUGAUUGGAGUGACGUCGUAACAAGGUAGUCGUACUUGAAGAUGCGGCUGGAUCACUUCCUUU